AAAAAAAAUAAUAUUUAAAGGGUGGAAGUUGAAAUCGGUUAUAUCAUUUCAAAAAGAAAAUAUAACUACUCUUUGAAAUUAAAACACAAAAACAAAAGAAAGGAAAAUCUAAGAACCCAAAAUAUAUAGAACAAAUUGGUUAAACAUAUUACAUUUUUUUUAUAAUGUUUUUGUGUGUUUUCAAUUCCGUGGCACAUAUGUUCUGUUAUCAAUUAUUUGACAGGGCUGGAAUCAAGGCAUUUAGAUUACAUAGAUCAACAUAAUUUUGGAGUCUUGCUGAAAUUUAAUUUCCAUUUGAUGUGCAGAUUAGUGCAAGGAGAAUACGGAUAUGGUGGCACUACAUAUAUGUUUGUUAUUGGAGGGGAUAUUAAAAAAUAACAUAUUUUGUUUCAUGUCUCUUCCUCUCCUAGCCUUUUUGGUUUUAUUCAAAAGGUUGGAAAGAUUGUGCUACAAUAUCAAAAUAGAGUGAUAUUAUUUACUGA